rnacentral:rRNA from 1 species
GGACGGGUGAGUAACACGUGGAUGACGUACCCUGGUGUGGGGGAUACCCUCCAGAAAUGGAGGCUAAUACCGCAUACGGUCUGGUGGAUCAAGCCAUCAGAAGAAAGCUCUCGCGAGAGGGCGCAGCAGGAGCGGUCUGCGGCCGAUUAGCUAGUUGGCGAGGUAAGAGCUCACCAAGGCGGCGAUCGGUAGCUGGUCUGAGAGGAUGAUCAGCCACACUGGGAUUGAGAACGGCCCAGACUCCUACGGGGGGCAGCAGUGAGGGAUCUUCGGCAAUGGGGGCAACCCUGACCGAGCAACGCCGCGUGCAGGACGGAGGCCUUCGGGUUGUAAACUGCUUUUCUCAGGGGCGAGUUUCGGACGGUACCUGAGGAAGAGGUCUCGGUAACUACGUGCCAGCCGCCGCGG